rnacentral:rRNA from 1 species
GACGAACCGUGCGAACGUUGUUCGGAAUCACUGGGCUUAAAGGGAGCGUAGGUGGGCUAUCAAGUCUGGGGUGAAAUCCCACGGCUCAACCGUGGAACUGCCUUAGAUACUGACGGCCUCGAGGGAGAUAGGGGCAUGCGGAACUAACGGUGGAGCGGUGAAAUGCGUUGAUAUCGUUAGGAACUCCGGUGGCGAAAGCGGCGUGCUGGAUCUCUUCUGACGCUGAGGCUCGAAAGCUAGGGGAG